UACGAAGGGGGCUAGCGUUGCUCGGAAAUCACUGGGCGUAAAGGGUGCGUAGGCGGAUCUUUUAAGUCAGGGGUGAAAUCCUGGAGCUCAACUCCAGAACUGCCUUUGAUACUGAGGAUCUCGAGUUCGGGAGAGGUGAGUGGAACUGCGAGUGUAGAGGUGAAAUUCGUAGAUAUUCGCAAGAACACCAGUGGCGGAAGGCGGCUCACUGGCCCGUAUA
rnacentral:rRNA from 1 species